rnacentral:rRNA from 1 species
UACGGAGGAUGCAAGCGUUAUCCGGAAUGAUUGGGCGUAAAGCGUCCGCAGGUGGCAAUGUAAGUCUGCUGUCAAAGCGUCUGGCUCAACCAGAUAAAGGCAGUGGAAACUACAUAGCUAGAGUAAGGUAGGGGUAGAGGGAAUUCCUGGUGUAGCGGUGAAACGCGUAGAGAUCAAGAAGAACACCGGUGGCGAAAGCGCUCUGCUGGACCUAAACUGACACUGAGGGACGAAAGCUAGGGGAGCGAAUGGG